UACACCAGGAGCCCCACCAACCUGCAGUAAUUAUUCAUCCCAUUGUCGACAACUACAAGAUGGGACCCAACUUCAAGAGAGGCCAAAUGGUUUCUCCAUAUGGCGGAACAUCACGAGUACAGAGUACAGACACAUAUGCAAAGCUCAGGCAGAAUCAAUGGCUGGGACUAGGAGAUGAUCGUCAUUCCAAGUAGCCUCUUGGAUGGUCAUCGGUUCUGGUGGCGAUGCCGAUGAUCGUUGAGAGGUUCGUGGACUGGACGGUGUCAUGGUUGCCAAUGUACGAAGAGGCGAAGCUGCUGCUCGUCAUCUACCUCUGGCACCCCAGCACAUGGG